rnacentral:rRNA from 1 species
GACGAACGCUGGCGGCGUGCUUAACACAUGCAAGUCGAACGGAAAGGCCCUGCUUGCAGGGUACUCGAGUGGCGAACGGGUGAGUAACACGUGGGUGAUCUGCCCUGCACUUCGGGAUAAGCCUGGGAAACUGGGUCUAAUACCGGAUAGGAGCCAUUUUUAGGUUGAUGGUUGGAAGGUUUUUUCGGUGUAGGAUGAGCUCGCGGCCUAUCAGCUUGUUGGUGGGGUAAUGGCCUACCAAGGCGGCGACGGGUAGCCGGCCUGAGAGGGUGGACGGCCACAUUGGGACUGAGAUACGGCCCAGACUCCUACGGGAGGCAGCAGUGGGGAAUAUUGCACAAUGGGCGCAAGCCUGAUGCAGCGACGCCGCGUGGGGGAUGACGGCCUUCGGGUUGUAAACUCCUUUCGCUAGGGACGAAGCUUUUUGUGACGGUACCUAGAUAAGAAGCACCGGCUAACUACGUG